AUACGUAGGUGACAAGCGUUAUCCGGAUUUACUGGGCGUAAAGGGCGUGUAGGCGGUCUUGCAAGUCAGAAGUGAAAUUCCUGAGCUCAACUCGGGCGCUGCUUCUGAAACUGCAGGACUUGAGUGCUGGAGGGGAUAGCGGAAUUCCUAGUGGAGCGGUAAAAUGCGCAGAUAUUAGGAAGAACACCGGUGGCGAAGGCGGGUCUCUGGCAAGAAACUGACGCUGAAGCGCGAAAGCGUGGGGAGCAGGCGGGAUUAGAUACCCUGAUAGUCCACGCCAUAAACGAUGAAUACUAGGUGUAGUGGGUAGCGACCCCCUCUGUGCCGACGUUAACACAUUAAGUAUUCCACCUGGGGAGUACGGCCGCAAGGCGGAAACUCAAAGGAAUUGACGGGG
rnacentral:rRNA from 1 species